ensembl:lncRNA
UCUCUCUCUCUCUCUCUCUCUCUCUCUCUGUUGUCAGGACUGUCUCUCUCUCUCUCUCUCUCUCUCUCUCUCUGUUGUCAGGACUGUCUCUCUCUCUCUCUCUCUCUCCGUUGUCAGGACUGACUCUCUCUCUCUCUCUCUCUCGCUCCGUUGUCAGGACUGUCUCUCUCUCUCUCUCUCGCUCCGUUGUCAGGACUCUCUCUCUCGCUCCGUUGUCAGGACUCUCUCUCUCUCUCUCGCUCCGUUGUCAGGACUCUCUCUCUCUCUCUCCGUUGUCAGGACUCUCUCUCUCUCUCUCCGUUGUCAGGACACUCUCUCUCUCUCUCCGUUGUCAGGACUCUCUCUCUCUCUCUCCGUUGUCAGGACUCUCUCUCUCUCUCUCUCUCCGUUGUCAGGACUGUCUCUCUCUCUCUCUCUGUUGUCAGGACUCUCUCUCUCUCUCCGUUGUCAGGACUGUCUCUCUCUCUCUCUCUCUCUCUCUCUCUGACUGUCUCUCUCUCUCUCUCUCUCUCUCUCUCUCUCUGUUGUCAGGACUGUCUCUCUCUCUCUCUCUCUGUUGUCAGGACUGUCUCUCUCUCUCUCUCUCUGUUGUCAGGACUGUCUCUCUCUCUCUCUCUCUGUUGUCAG